CAUUUCACCAAGCCUAGACUAGGAUUAACUAUGUUGUAGACAUCAUGUCAAACAUCUUUAAAGGUUUUUGUUGGUAAUUAAUUGCAGAUUUUUUUUUUUCCUUCUUUUUAAUAGUUCAGUUCUUUUGUUUCCAUAUAGGUCAUGUUUAAUCCAAGCCUAUAUGACAAACCUUGAACAGCACGCUUGAGAUACGAAAAGAGUACCGUAAGACUGGUAAUAAUCUCCAUACGCAUUCUAUGACAUGCCCUUCAUUUCAAUUGGGUUCUUCGUUCUAACACCAUGAUCUUUAAGGGAACCCUGCAGUGUCGCACCAUCAGCUGAGCACGGCUAACAUGUAAACAUCCCUAUUGAAACGUUACCAGUCUGGGCCCUCAGGAAAGAGGCGCACCGACACAUCAUACGUACGCCGGGGCGGUUCAGAAGUCUGUCUACCAACCGGAAACCGUUGAAACGACACGGUCGAUUGACGGCAAAUGGGACAAAGUCUCGGCUGACGAGUGUACGGCGUACACGGAGCAGCAAAAUGAACGGACGCCGGCUGCGUGAGCGGUGGUUCAGAGACUGUCUCUCCGGUGGCAGGUGUUGGGAACGUUCCCCCGGCCGUCUCCCAGCUGCAGUGGAACCACUUCCCCCGGACUGUACGCGGCGCGUGCCGGCGGCUGACCACUCCAGUGGUGUGAACUUAGGCCUUCACUUUCCAAAGGCCGGGGGCC